CGUAACCUGUUCACUGUCUUGUGCUCUCUCUCUGCUAACCCGAGAUUUCCUCAUAGCACGAGAGAGUUUCACCUCUCAUCCUGGAUUUUAAGGAGAUUUGGCAGGCAUUUGCUUGUGAGAUAAGCUAGGUGCUGUGUGUUUAAGGUCAACCUUUUUGUACUUGACCCUGAGAUCCUUGGAUUAGCGUUGGUUCUGUCAGCAGCUGGAAGGACCUGGUCACACUUGCUGCAACUGUGUGUGUGAAUGAAAUGCCUGCACGUCAUCACUCUUUCCUCUGAAUUUGUUCAUUAUACACUGAUUCUAUGGCACCUCCAUGGAUGUAGUUGGCAUUCUAAAUGUGUUUGGAUAUGGGUUGCUAUGUGUGUAUGUGGAAGUAUAUGUGGUGUUUUACUCAGGAUCACGACGUCUGGGACCUUUGAUGGGGUCUGAGGAUUUGUUUGAUCAACACUUUGCAGGUCAUGAUAGUGAUGAGUACGUGGAGGCCCACACUGAUCAACAGAGCACUUUGCUCCUUCUGUAUACUUUGGUGGCACCCAGGACUCUCCCGAGGGGAGGAGGUGCUAUAAAUCCUCUUCCCUGUCAAACUUAGUUAUGCCCUCUGGGAAUUCAUGUAACGAUAGAAACCAAGGAUUGAGUAUACCUGCUUUCAAAACAAGAGAAAUGUCAUCACAGCUUUCUCUUGGGCCCAAAGCUGUGGCACAGACUGGAGGAAUCUUCUUCCUGAACUAGUCAAUUCCAUCAUGCUCACCUGGCCAGCUCUUGAAGGUCAGGUCCCUCCAACUGGUACCGUGACUCUGUUGUCCUGUGCCCAGGAUAAUAAACUUAACCAGUACAAAUACUUCGAAGGAGCAAAUAUGUAGUACAUACUGAGUUUAAGUAAUCGAGAGAACAGUCUGAUUUCACCUAAUUUGUUUCACCUGCUUUGAUCUUUAGUUUUUUAUUUUUUUAACUAUCCAGGGAUUGUUUAUUGUGACCUAGAAAUGGUCACUGUGGUCUUGACAGUUGUUAUUCCCAAACAGGCAGCUCUCAGGCUCUGCCCACUCCUAUAUAGUGAGUCUUUGCAGAACCAUAUCUCCCCAGGAUUCCAAGGAGCCCUUAUUUCAAAACAAAUGUUUGCUUAUUUACAUGGAAAUAUUUUCUGUGGAUUAAGCCUCACUGUUGGGUUUUGGUCUGGUUUUUGAGUUUGCCACUUUCUUCCCUUCCACCAUUCCUUGAAUUUGAAAUUUUUUAUUAUAUAUUUUUUAUUUACACUUCACCUAAUUCUGAAAUCAUGAGUUCAAAACAUUAUUUGUUCCUUUGGCCAUGACCUAACCCAGGCUGGAUGUCGAAUUGCCAGUCCUUCAAUCCGAACAUGAGAUGAGAAUGAUGGCUAUGCAAAUGAUGACCAACUCAAUAAGUGAUGCCAUGGAGAGGUACAAGGAGCUCAUACAAGUGAACAGUUCCUACCGGUGAGUCGUUGACAGAGAUGAGAACCCAGCACUAGCGAGGGAAUGCUUCUGUCCUGUAUGACUUUGAACCAAAGUCAGGGCUCUGGUUCUGCAGUCUGACUCUUAACAAGAAGCCUGCCUUGUGGCAAGGGUCUUAGAUUUGUAGCUCUUGGAAAAGUUGUCCUACAUGUGAAGGGUGUAGAAGACCCUCAAUCGUUAUUUUCCCCAUUAAGGAUCCUCUAGAUAGAAAAGGUUUGCACCAUGAUGGGAAUAUCAAUCAACUCUUAAUCUCUAGGACUCUGACAGGUUGUCUAUGAUCCAUGAGAAACACAUGGAAAAUUUGUACAGCUAUUGGGUCUUCUAUCCUCCCUCAGAGUGGAUGUGACCUCUACUUGCAGAUGACUUCAGCAUACUAAGGACAUAUGAGCUCCCUUAUGGACCAUUUCUUCUACCUUGAUUUAUAUAAACCGUCGUAGUGUCAGGAUUUUCAGAAGUACUUUGAUUCACAGGGAUGUGUCCUCUGGAUUUGACCUCCUCUAAUUGAUGCUAACCUGUAUAGUGUGGCUCUAUUCUGGGGAUGUCUGGGGAUGAGGACCCUUGAAGGGAUGACUGGACUUGCAGGAGUGAUAGGCAAAUAGAAGCUGGCUGGGAUUUACCAUUUUUUGUUUGUGGUUCAGCAUCAGGCACUCCCAGAUCCUGCUUGAACAAGCUCAAUUGAAGAACAAUAUACAGAUUUUGCUGAAUGAGAAGAGAGAACUGCUGGUGGAGCAGACUGAACUCCCAGCAUCCUCUGUGCAGGCAAAGAGGUUCUGUGAAGAGGCCGGAAUGAACAUCUGUGACCUCAGAGCCAAGCCACAGCAGGUCUGAAGGUCUCCAGCAGAAACUCGAACAUGACACAGACCAGGACAAGAACUCCCUUGGAGAGAAGAGCUACAGGAGGAGAACUAAGUGUGCACAGCAAAUACACCACUAUUGCGUCUCAUCUGUAGUGUCCAUAGCAAUUGUGGGCUGCAUUUUCCUUCUUUAGUUUGACUUCUUUGGAUUGUAUAUGUUGUAUUUUCACCUCGCCUCUCUCCAGCAAGUGUAAAUUUUUGGAGGGACCCAGAGAAGUGCUGAUGCACAUCAAUCAAGAGCUGCUGGUCAUCCAGAAAGACUGUGCACGUAUAAAUUUGUACUUGUCCUGAUGGGUCAUCCAGAAGAGUUUUGUGGAGAUCAGUUCACAACAUUGGAAAGACUUUGAGACAAAGUCUGUAAUAUCAUUUAUACUCAAUGUUGGAUGGCUUUUUCCUUAAUACCUCCACUCCAACAAAACAGACCUACUCCCACUCCUCUUGAAAAGAUUAUUACCAUCAGUAACUGCUUGUCUACUAUGUCUCCAAGGCAAGCCACAGGUUAUAAGUCUAUUCUGCAAAAGGAGCAGCAAAAGAAUGCUUAGCGCAAUUCCUCUAUUUAAAGUUUGGUUGAGUUUUGAUUAUUUUGGUUUUUUGGUUUUCCUUCUAUUCAUUUGAAGAUUUGUUAUUUAUGUGUUAUUUUGUUCAUUUGCUUUUCUAUUUUGAUAAGGAUAUAGACUGUAUAUAUUGACUACCUGCAUCUGGUUACUAUCAAGUAAAUUGGAUGUAUUCUGGUCAAUAAAGGAGUAAUAUCAAACUCUUCACUCUUAAGAACCUUCUUUAUUGAUCACUGGUGUCAACAUCUGAAGUCCCACAGCUAUUAGGGAGGGAUGGAUCUCUACAUUCUCAUGGGGACUGGGCAUCAAAAUUCCUUCCCAGUCAGACUGAGAUUCAAAGGCAAUUAUACAGUCACUGUUCACUGUGUUCCAAACUCUGUGAAUUUCAAGUUCAUCAUGCAUAUAUUACCUACUGUGUAUGCUUGCUAUCAAAUAUAUAGAACCUCUAAGUUAUACUCUGUGGAUGAGAGUGUUGAACAAAUUAAUGGGAUAAACAUUAAUUUUUCUGUAAUAUCUCCCAGGACAUAGAAACAUGGUAUGAGGGAGAUUAAAGCAAUUGGGAAGCCUGAACCCAAAUCCCGGGGCAGAGAAUGCUGAACACCCAGGAAUGCUUGUAAUCCUGAGACCACAGGACAGGAAGCCACUUCGGCCCAGCUCUGUCCACAUCUCUGGCUCAAUAUUAAUCUGCAUGCUGCCUCUGGAAACAGGAAUAGAGGAGCAGUCAGUGGCAGGAAACUGCGUGGUCCAUCCUGUGCCCAGAACCGACCCGGGCCCUGAGCAUAUUUAAAGAAAACCAGAGGCAUACAAUUCUCUGUUUCCUGACUGUGGCUUUUUUUAUUUGAAGCUCUAAACACCAUUUUGUUGUUGUUGAAUUUUAAUUGGAUAUUUUUCAUUUCGAAUUCAAAUGUUAUUCCUUCCUUGUUUUCCAGAAAUAAGUCCAAAUACCAUCGCCCUCCCCCUCUUCUAUAAAGGUGUUCCCUUCACCAUCCAGCCAGUUUCCCAGCCUAGGCAGGACCAAGGGCUGCUCAUUCCAUUUGUGCCCAAGAAGACCAACCUCUGAUACACAUGCAGAUGGAGCCAUGGCACAGUUCCUGUAUACUGUUUGGGUAGAGGUUUAGUGUCUGGGAAAUCUGCUUGGCAGGUAUGGUUGUUCUCAUAGGGUUGCAAGUCCCUUCAGCUCUUUCAAUCUUUCUAUAAUUCCUCCAACUGAGGUUCAGUUCUCAGUUCAAUGGUUUGAUGCUAGCAUUCGCCACUGUAUUUGACAUGAUCUGGCUGUGAAUCUCAGGAGACAUCUAUAUCCAGUUCCUGUCAGACUGCACCUCUUGGCUUCAUCCACCUUAUCUAGUUUGAAGGCUGUAUAUGUAUAGGCCACUCGUGGGGUAGACUCUGGAUGGCCAUUCCUCUAGGCUCUGUUCUAAAUUUUGCUUCCCUAUCCCUUCAAUAGGGAUUCUUCUUCUCCUUUAAAGGAAGGAGUGAAGCAUUAGCAUUUUGGUCAUCCUUCCUGAAUUUUAUUUGGUCUGUGAAUCUUGGGGAAUUCCAGCAUUUGGGCUAAUAUCCACUGAUCAGUGAGUGCAUACCAUGUGUGUGUUUCUGUGAUUGGGUUAGCUCACUCAGGAUGAUAUGUCUUAGUUCAUUCUCUUUGCCUAUGAAUUUCAUGAAGCUCAUUGUUUUUGAUAUCUCUGUAGUACUCCAUUGUGUAGAUGUACCACACUUUCUGUUUCUAUUCCUCUGUUGAAGGGCAUAUGGGAUCUUUUCAUUUUAUGACUAUUAUAAAUAUGGCCACUAUGAACAUAGUGGAGCAUGUGCCUUGUUGUAUGUUGGAGCAUCUUUUGGGUAUAUGUGUAAGAGAGGUAUAGUUGGGUCCUCAGCUAGUGCAAUGUCUAAUUUUCUGAGGAACCUCCAGACUGAUAUCCAGAAUGGUUGUACCAGUCUGCAAUCUCACCAACAAUGGAAGAGUGUUCCUCUUUCUCACAUCCGUGCAAGCAUCUUCUAUCGCCUGAGUGUUUUAUCUUAGGCAUUCAGACUGGUGUGAGGUGGAAUCUCAGGGUUGUUUUGAUUUGCAUUUCCUUUAUGACUAAAGAUGUUGAACAUUUCUUUUGGUGCUUCUCACCCAUUCCCUAUUCCUCAGCUGUGAAUUCUUUGUUUAGUUCUGAACUGCAAUUUUUAAUAGGAUUAUUAGUCUCCCUACAGUCCAACUUCAUGAGUUGUUUGUAUAUUUUGGAUAUUAGCCCUCUAUCAGUUCUAGGAUUAGUAAAGGUCUUUUCCCAAUCUGUUGGUUGCUGUUUUGUCCUAACCACAGUGUCCUUUGCCUUACAGAAGCUUUGUACCUUUAUGAGGUCCCAUUUGUCUUCUCUUGAUCUUAGAGCAUAAGCCAUUCGUGUUUUGUUCAGGAAAUUUUCUCCAGUGUCCUUGUGUUCAAGAUGCUUCCCCACUUUUGCUUCUAUUAGUUUGAGUGUAUCUGGUUUGAUGUAGAGGUUCUUGAUCCACCCGGACUUAAGCUUUGUACAGGGCAAUAAGCAGGGGAUGAUUUGUCCUCUUCCAUAUGCUGACCUCCAGUUGAACCAGCACCAUUUGCUGAAAAUGCUAUCCUUUGUCCACUGGAUGCUUUUGUCUCCUUUGUCAAAAAAUCAAGUGACCAUAGGUGUGUGGGUUCAUUUCUGUGUCUGCAGUUCUAUUCCACUGGUCUAUCUUCCUGUCUCUGUACCAAUACCAUACAGUUUUUAUCACUAAUGCUCUGUAAACUGCUUGAGUUCAUGGAUGGUGAUUCCCAGGGAAGUCCUUUUAUUGUUGAGGAUAGUUUUAGCUAUCCUGCCUUACUUGUUAUUCCAAGUGAAUUUGCAAAUUAUUUCUUCUAACCCUAUGAAGAGUUGAUUUGGUAUUUUGAUAGGGGUUGCUUUCAAUCAGUAGUUCACUUUUGCAAAAAUGGCCAUUUUUACUCUCUUCAUCCUGCCAAGCCGUGAGCAUGGGAGAUCUUUCCAUCUUCUGAGACCUUCAAUUUCUUUCUUCAGACACCGGAAGUUCUUGUCCUACAGAUCUUUCACUUGCUUCAUAAAAGUCACACUGAUGUAUUUUUAUGUUAUUUGGGACUAUUAUGAAAGGUGUCAUUUCCCUACUUGUUUAUCUUUUGUGUAGAGGAAGGCUACUGAUUUGUUUGAGUUAAUUUUAUACCCAGCCACAUUGCCGAAGUUGUUUAUCAGUCUUAGGAUUUCUCUGGUCUAACUUUUGGGGUGUCUCAAUUAUACUGUCCUAUCGUCCUCAAUAGUGAUAAUUUUCUUCUUCCUUUCCAAUCUGUAUCCCUUUGACCUCCUCUUGUUGUCUGAUUGCAUUGGCUAAUGCUGGGGACAACAUACAAUGACAGGGACUGCCAGUAGUAGGCUGGGACGGAGACUUCUCAGAAUCCUGCAGCAGCUCCUUGUAAAAUAGGGUGGCUUUGGGAACCCUGAGUAUCAGGACACACAUCCCUCCACGAGAUCCACCAUCUGAAAUAAGAGGCUGCCUUCAGUAGUCCUGGAUGGAGACAUCUCAAUAGUCCGCAGUAGCUCUUUGUAAAAACUGGUUGUUUCCAUUUCCCUAACCUUAUCACUAGACAAGGGCUGUAUAGAUUUCAUUUGUGUGUGACUGCCUAUCAGUUGGCCUUGGUGUGCACAAUUAUAGUAUUAUAUCUGACUUUCCUAAGGGCUGUAUAGAUUUCAUUUGUGUGUGACUGCCUAUCAGUUGGCCUUGGUGUGCACAAUUAUUGUAUUAUAUCUGACUUUCCUACUUCUUUCUCCUUCUGCUCUGGUGAAUUCUGUGAAACUAGAUGUUCCUUGAUGUUAUGAUUCUUAGACAAUUGGAAAUUGAUGCAUAGGGGCACAGCACAGCACAGCCCUAGUGGCCCAGGUGGAUACUGUGUAUUCUCAUCUUGGAAAAAAUGUAAUAACUGCAGAAUUGUAGUUCCAGAUUAAGGUUUGACUUGCAAAGACAGCUUGAAGAAAAUAAGAGAAAAUGAAUUAGAGCCAACAUUGGGACCCUAAGAAAGGAAAAAGUUAUUGAAGUUAGGAUAUAAAUUUUCCAUAGUAUUUCAGACUGGUUACUGGAUAUGGAAGUAUAGAAUAUAUAAAAUAAUAUACUAGUAAACUAAGUCAAGCUACUGGAACUCUUAUGAGAGUCACUGAGUGCAAGGAACAGAAAGGUAGUGGAAUUACUGUGCUAAGAGUUACCUUGAUUCUUUCUGGCCACUGCCUGGCAGUUUUGCCUAUGUCAUUUAUCAUUAGAGCUUCACAGGAAAGUGCAGGUAGCUGACCUCGGAGCUUUGGUCUCUGAAGUAUAAAAGUAAAGAGUUAAAGUUUAAAUAAUGAUAAGUUUACAAUUAUUAUUAUUAUAUUAGCCACAGGUCUGUGUAUAGGGGAAGCCUGAAUCUUUGGGGAACAGUUGUAAUUCUUAGUUCUUGGUGAGAUGUAGUCAUUCCUUGCAUUUGAUUUGGCAAUGAUUAUAAAAUGUCUUUUUCCUACCCGCUUUUGGAUUAUUAAUAAAGGACUGGGGCAAGAGAAAGGCUACAGAACAUGUGAAGAGUAAAUGAGAGAGAGCAUGAAGGAGUGAAUGAGAGAGUACAUGACAGAGCUAAUGUAAGAACAAAUGUGAUUGCAAAUUCGAGAGCAUGAGAAGAGCAUGUGAAGAGUGAGUGGAGAGAGAAUGUGGAGAGUGAAUGAGGGAGCUAAUGAGGGAGGGAGUCUGAGAACAAAUGUGAGAGCCAGGGAGAGAGCAUGAGGA